UGCAAGUCGACGGCAGCACGGAGCUUGCUCUGGUGGCGAGUGGCGAACGGGUGAGUAAUAUAUCGGAACGUACCCUGGAGUGGGGGAUAACGUAGCGAAAGUUACGCUAAUACCGCAUACGAUCUAAGGAUGAAAGUGGGGGAUCGCAAGACCUCAUGCUCGUGGAGCGGCCGAUAUCUGAUUAGCUAGUUGGUAGGGUAAAAGCCUACCAAGGCAUCGAUCAGUAGCUGGUCUGAGAGGACGACCAGCCACACUGGAACUGAGACACGGUCCAGACUCCUACGGGAGGCAGCAGUGGGGAAUUUUGGACAAUGGGCGAAAGCCUGAUCCAGCAAUGCCGCGUGAGUGAAGAAGGCCUUCGGGUUGUAAAGCUCUUUUGUCAGGGAAGAAACGGUGAGAGCUAAUAUCUCUUGCUAAUGACGGUACCUGAAGAAUAAGCACCGGCUAACUACGUGCCAGCAGCCGCGGUAAUACGUAGGGUGCAAGCGUUAAUCGGAAUUACUGGGCGUAAAGCGUGCGCAGGCGGUUAUGUAAGACAGAUGUGAAAUGCCCGGGCUCAACCUGGGAACUGCAUUUGUGACUGCAUGGCUAGAGUGUGUCAGAGGGGGGUAGAAUUCCACGUGUAGCAGUGAAAUGCGUAGAUAUGUGGAGGAAUACCGAUGGCGAAGGCAGCCCCCUGGGAUAACACUGACGCUCAUGCACGAAAGCGUGGGGAGCAAACAGGAUUAGAUACCCUGGUAGUCCACGCCCUAAACGAUGUCUACUAGUUGUCGGGUCUUAAUUGACUUGGUAACGCAGCUAACGCGUGAAGUAGACCGCCUGGGGAGUACGGUCGCAAGAUUAAAACUCAAAGGAAUUGACGGGGACCCGCACAAGCGGCGGAUGAUGUGGAUUAAUUCGAUGCAACGCGAAAACCUUACCUACCCUUGACAUGGAAGGAAUCCCUGAGAGAUCGGGGAGUGCUCGAAAGAGAACCUUUACCACAGGUGCUGCAUGGCUGUCGUCAGCUC
rnacentral:rRNA from 1 species